rnacentral:lncRNA from 1 species
CAAGCUGUGAGGCUACACGGUAACGGAAAAGCAAAAGUCUUGACAGAUUCACGCCUUCACAAAAGAGACAGGUAAGAGAUACUCACAAAAUAAAACAACAUAUUUGAUGUAUUGAAUACUGUCUACUUUUAUCAACAACUAAUUUGAGUGCUCAGUGUUUAUUUCCACGCCACUUGACAACCAUUCAUUUAUGAUUUCAGCAUUUGACAUAAAGUCAAUCAAGUAAGAACUGCUAUCUAUGCUGAGUUUUUAUCUUAUUCAUUAUUUAUUAGUGGCACAUUGUAUAGAAGUGAAUAUAAACUGCAACUGGUAUAUUUAAAUGUCAGAGUCUUUGCUGUCUGCAAUUUGGUAAAUAAAAACUUUGAACCUGGAACCAUCUAUCAAAUAUUUUAAGUCUGAUUGUUAGUCCAUUGAAAUGACUGUUCAGAGACCAAUCCUGUGUCUAGUCCUUUUAGAGUUAAAGGACUCACAAAAGAUGGAGACUUCACAGAGGUCUCCCGUUCAGUCAUCCUUUCUGAUCUCAAUAAUAGUUGUGCUGAAUAUCAUCGUAUGGAUGUUUCUAAUGUCAGCAGUGGGAUUAGGGGCUAUGCACCUACAUGACUGCCCCUUACAGCCUUAUAUCCCCAUCUACCUGCUGGUGUUCGGGGUGACGUCCAUCGCCUCCCUGCUCCUAUCCUACCUCAAUAACACACUGGAGACUGGCUUCCUGAGCCUACUGUGUUCCUCCUGCAUCUUCCUGCUCCAGCUCUUCAACCUCGGCUGGUUCAUCACAGGGAGUGAGUGGGUGUACUCCAUAUAUCCCCCGAACUAUGACUCGAAUGGUGGAGAGAAGUACUGUCAGAGGAAGAUAUACCUGUUUGCUUUCUGGUUCAACAGCCUGGGCAGCAUCUGUAUGGCUGUGGGGUUCUUCUGUGCAGUGUACUUCCUCUUCCUUACCUGUGUGAAAAUGGCAUUUAGGGGACACCAUUUACUCCAUUCACAUAAGAGAUCGUAUGGUGUGGACGCUUGAGAACUCUGUGGCACAGAAACCUCACUAACAUGGUUUUUCUGUUCUAUGUGUGGUGUGUGUGUGUGUGUGUGUGUGUGUGUGUGUGUGUGUGUGUGUUGGUGCCUGGAGAAGUGGGUAUACAAUAAUGUUGGCACAAUAAAGUCGCACUGUGUGAAAAAUUGUUUUCCCAUAAUUUUUCCAGGUAUUCACAAUUAAUUGCAAAAAUCUAUAUUUGGGGAGGUGUAGCUGCCCUUUAAUUCAGUUGCACACCAAGCAAGAUACCUUUUGGCGAGUGGGGUUGCUGUAGCCUAGUGUACAACGUACAGUUGAAGUCGGAAGUUUACAUACACUUAGGUUGGAGUCAUGAAAGUUCAUUUUUCAACAACUCCACAAAUUUCUUGUUCACAAACUACAGUUUUGGCAAGUCGGUUAGGACAUCUACUUUGUGCAUGACACAUGUCAUUUUUCCAAUAAUUGUUUACAGACAGAUUAUUUCACAAUUCC